GACGUAGGGGGCGAGCGUUGUCCGGAUUUAUUGGGCGUAAAGCGCGCGUAGGCGGCCGCGCAAGUCGGAUGUGAAAACCCGGGGCUCAACCCCGGGCGUGCAUUCGAUACUGCGCGGCUCGAGACAGGUAGGGGAGAUCGGAAUUCCUGGUGUAGCUGUGAAAUGCGCAGAUAUCAGGAGGAACACCGGUGGCGAAGGCGGAUCUCUGGGCCUGUUCUGACGCUGAGGCGCGAAAGCUAGGGGAGCGAACAGG
rnacentral:rRNA from 1 species